AAAUAGCCCAAUAACAUUAAUAUGUCCGGCCAUUAGGGUGAAUGGGCAAGCUUUGAUUAAUUACAAGUUUGCCACUCACUUGAAAUGAAGUAUAAAAGGAACUUUAUAGCUUUAUUUCUCCUAAGGGUUUUUCUUGGUGAAAUGAGGUGAAACACUUUCUCUCAUUUUCUCUAAAGAGGCCGGCCACUUAAAGAGAUUAAUCUAGCAAUCUUUUCUUCUCUAAGUCAUCCAUUUCGUCUUCACACGUAACCCUUGGUGUGGAGACUUAGAUACACCAAAUCUUUGGUGUUUUUGGAGAUCCUUUCCUUACAUCCUCAAGGACCAAAGGAGCACAAAAGGAGAAGGAAAUCACAAGCAAUAUCCAAGGAGCUAGGAGGUGACUUGAAGG
rnacentral:lncRNA from 1 species